CUCCAACCCAUCUACAUGUCCUCCGACCCCAUCUACACAUCCUCCAACCCCAUCUACACAUCUACACGUCCUACAACCCCAUCUACACAUCCUACAACCCCAUCUACACAUCCUACAACCCCAUCUACAAAUUCUCCAACCCCAUCUGCACAUCCUCCAACCCCAUCUACACAUCCUCCAACCCCAUCUACACAUCUACAACCCCAUCGUCCUACAACCCCAUCUACACAUCCUACAACCCCAUCUACACAUUCUCCAGCCCCAUCUACACGUCCUCCAACCCCCCAUCUACACAUCCUCCAACCCAUCUACACAUCCUCCAACCCCAUCUACACGUCCUCCAACCCGAUCUACACAUCCUCCAACCCCAUCUACACGUCCUCCAACCCCAUCUACACAUCCUCCAACCCCAUCUACACAUCCUCCAACCCCAUCUACACAUCCUCCAACCCCAUCUACACAUCUCCAACCCCAUCACAUCCUCCAACCCCAUCUACACAUCCUCCAACCCCAUCUACACAUCCUCCAACCCCAUCUACACAUCCUCCAACCCCCCAUCUACACAUCCUACAACCCCAUCUACACAUCCUACAACCCCAUCUACACAUCCUCCAACCCCAUCUACACAUCCUCCAACCCCAUCUACACAUCCUCCAACCCCAUCUACACAUCCUACAACCCCAUCUACACAUCCUACACCCAUCUACAAUCCUCCAACCCCAUCUACACAUCCUCCAACCCCAUAUACACAUCCUCCACCCCCAUCUACACAUCCUCCAACCCCAUCUACACGUCCUCCAACCCCAUCUACG
ensembl:lncRNA